UACGAAGGGGGCGAGCGUUGUUCGGAUUUACUGGGCGUAAAGGGCGCGCAGGCGGCUUUGUUUGUCAGGCGUGAAAGCCCCGGGCUUAACCUGGGAACUGCGUUUGAUACGGCAGGGCUAGAGUUCGGGAGAGGAGAGUGGAAUUCCCAGUGUAGAGGUGAAAUUCGUAGAUAUCCGGAGGAAUACCAAAGGCGAAGGCAGUGUUCUGGGUGGUACCUGACGCUCAGGGGCGAAAGCUAGGGGAGCGAACGGG
rnacentral:rRNA from 1 species